rnacentral:rRNA from 1 species
UACGGAGGGUGCAAGCGUUAUCCGGAUUUAUUGGGCUUAAAGGGUGUGUAGGCGGAUAAGUAAGUCCGCGGUGAAAUCCUGCAGCUUAACUGCAGAACUGCCGUGGAUACUAUUUGUCUUGAAUAUCGUGGAGGUUAGCGGAAUAUGUCAUGUAGCGGUGAAAUGCUUAGAUAUGACAUAGAACACCCAUUGCGAAGGCAGCUAACUACGCGAUUAUUGACGCUGAUGCACGAAAGCGUGGGGAUCAAACAGG